rnacentral:rRNA from 1 species
AAUAUUUCACAAUGGAGGGAACUCUGAUGCAGCCACGCCGCGUGAGUGAAUAAGGGUUUCGGGUCGUAAAACUCUGUCAUUGGGGAAGAAUAAAUGCCGGUACCCAAUGAGGAAGCCCCGGCCACCUACGUGCCAGCCGCCGCGGUAAUACGUAGGGGGCGAGCGUUGUCCGGAAUUACUGGGCGUAAAGGGUGCGUAGGCGGCUAUAUAAGUCAGGUGUGAAAUACCAGUGCUUAACACUGGAAUUGCAUUUGAAACUGUGUAGCUUGAGUGCAGGAGAGGAAAGUGGAAUUCCUAGUGUAGCGGUGAAAUGCGUAGAGAUUAGGAGGAACACCAGUGGCGAAGGCGACUUUCUGGACUGUAACUGACGCUGAGGUACGAAAGCGUGGGUAGCGAACA